AAAUCCUCCUCAUCAAUAACAUGACUUUGAUCUGCGUCCUCAUCUGGACUCUCCUCUGCUUCACUCAGGGGUCUGUUGGACAGAAUGUUGUUGUGACUCAGUCAGCAGCCAAAUCAGUGCAGCUCGGACAAACUGUCACUAUUGACUGUAAAGUCAAUCCAACAGUAGCUCGCUACUCUGGUUCACAGUACUACCUGGCCUGGUACCAUCAGAAACCUGGAGAAGCUCCUAAAGCUCUGAUCUACAGAACAUCAGACAGAUUUUCAGGAAUCUCCUCCAGAUUCAGUGGAAGUGGAGCAGGGAAUGGAGUUGACUUCACUCUGACCAUCAGUGGAGUUCAGGCUGAAGAUGCAGGAGUUUAUUACUGUCAGAGUUAUCAUAGUGGCCCCGUGUUCACACAGUGAAAAAGCAUCGUACAAAAACCUCCUUCAGUCAGACUGAACAGAAACUGAACUCAGUGCUGCAGCUGGAAGUUACUCCAGCAUUGAUAUAGUUCAGUAAACACUCACU